GUUUCACUUUGGACCGGAGUGGGAAAGCUCCAGAAUUCAGCCUCUUAUUAAGUAUGACUAAGGAUUUAUACACAGUGAAAUAACUUCACCAGGAGAGACUGAUGAAGCCCCACAUCAGGCUAUCCCAUAGCUCGGCAGUUAGAGCAUGUACCUGACAGGAUUUGAAUUGAGGUCUCACACCUUCCCCCCCGCCACAUCUGAGGGGAAAAGAGAACUGGGGUCUUCCACAUCCCAGAAUGGGGGAGAGAAUCACCUUUCUCAAGGGUUUUGAGAUCUUCAAAUGAAAAAUACAAAAUAUUCUCAGGUCAACAGUCAAGCAUACUCAGUGAGCUGUAUAUAAAAUGGAGAUUUCAUAUUAUGAAUUAUGAUUAUUUUUAUUCAUAGCUAUUUACCAGCUCUAACAGCCUUUCAAAAACUGGAUGCUCAGUUGAAAGAUUUCAUCUCUAGAAAAAAAGAAGUUCAUCCCAAUGGGCCACUGGAGAGGACUUUUGGAUGAAAGUAUCCACAUGCGAUUCCUCCAGAUCAUCCAAUCAGAGGGAGGAGAAGAAAACCUGCCUAGCUCUACAGGAAAGCCAGGAGAAUUUUCAACCGAAACAAUUUGUCAAAAACCAACCAAUUCACAAAAUGUUUCAGGAUCACUCUGUGACACUUUGCCCUAUAUUCACCGCUCUAAUAUGAUUAUAAGUUUUGUACACAGUAUACCUUGUGAGACAUCAUUUUAAAAAUCUUGAUCUGUUGAACAUUAAUAUACAUGUAUGUAUGUGAAGUUAUGAAGUAUUGCUUUAUGUGUUAUUGAAAUAUAUUCUGAGAUUGAGAACACCCACAACCAGCCUUUCAGUUGUAACAAAGGAGGGCCCAGCGAGCUUUAAUUGCCCAUGAAGAAAACAGAGGCUCCUUAGAGAAGGCACAUAUGCAAUGUACACUGCUUGACCAAUGGGGACCCCCCAAGUCACAGCAAGGAUCUUUCGAGCAGCUAGAAGAAGGAAUCAAAAGAGAGACAGUGGCUCUUGGCCCUUCUUCCCCCAUCCCCACCCCAUCUUAACACCUGGAAGCAUGUCUGUAAGACAAAGAUCUUGAACUGGGGAAGUUUUUGUAAACGUGUUAAAAUUUCCUAAAUAAGUAGUUAAAAAUGUUUGAAAGGGAAGAAAUAUUGGAUAUCUCCUCCUUUUUGGUCACAGGAUGCCUGGGUUGGCUACCUCUCAACUGUCUAUUGUGUGUUGCUGAAUAUAGUGUAUGGCUCACAGCACAACGAUUGUACAGCAUUGUGUAUGUGCUCUUCAUGUACUUGUCGUAGAAAAUUGAUAUCAUACAUCAUUGUUCAGAAUUUGCUACAAUGAACCACAAAGUUGAUACAAAUCAGUAACACAAAGAGAAGAGGAGAAAUGCAUUUUUGGAGGAGCUGUGAAUGGUAGAGACAUUGAACAGGGAAUUUUAUUUUGCGUUUACUGUGAAAUUACACACACUGCCUUGACAACACAAACUCACACAUAGCAAAUAUAAAAUAAAUAAGAAAAUAUUUUUCUUGUUAUGUUUUGAAAAUCUGCAUUAUCUUCACGCAACAGCCACCGAUUCCAUGUAGCUGCAAUGAUUCUAAGUUUUGUAUUUUAGUUAUAAAGAAUGUAACAACGAUUAUUCCAUCUCAAAAGAAUAUUAAAACAAUGUCACAGGCAGACUUGUGAUAUUUUCCAAAAAAAGAUUUGUAGUUAUUCUGAAACAAGUAGAUGAUGGUCACAUUUCUGUUCUCAGUUCCACCCAUGUAAAUCUUUAGUAAAUCCACUGAAGCUCAUGGUGUCGCUCUGGAUGUAUUCUGGUGUGACUGAGAUCUAAUCUGUCCUCAUGCUUUUAGCAUGUUGCUUGUCAUGAUCUGCUGAUUCAGCAGGAAGUUUGAAAAAAACAAAACAAAGCCUUACUGCUUUUGAUUUCCUCGUGUAUUAAAACAAUGCAUAGCCAAAGUACACAUUGUAAUAGAGCAUUUUUUAUUUUGGCAUUCUGAUUAUUAUUCAGAUGUCACUGUAUAAUGGGGCCAUACAAUAUAUUCUGUUCCAAAAGAAUUUCACUAAAAGUGACAUGGUCACAUGAGCUUCUCUUUUAUGGUUAAUAUAGUUACUGGAGCUGAGGGAGGGAAAAGAAAACAAAACAAAUUGCUUUAUUCACCACUGUUACUCCAGCCUCACUCCAAUGGAAUUGGACUAUCAUAAAACUGGAGUUAUGCCAAGGUGAAUCAGGUCCAUAGUCUUACAUUAUGCAGUUUAGAGUCUAUGUCUCAUAUAAUGUUAUUUAUAUAGCACUCAAACUCUGCUACGGUCUUUAUGAACAAAUCAGGAGAAAAGGCCCAAAUCAGCUCUGAGGGAACUGCAACUGAAUUAGACAAUAAGCAGAUGAAGGAGGUGGGAAUGGGAUGCAACUAAAGCCAAUGACUGAGUAAGGAAUGAUAUUGUAGUUGACCAUAACUUGUUUCUCCCUCUCUCUCAUACAUGAGCUCUUGUGUUUUCUUUCACACCAUCAUUUAAUAGGCUGAGGAAGGGGAAGCAGACAGAAGGCCAUGGGCCUUUUGAAAGAAAGAAUGUGGCAGGGGGUGGUUACAGGUAUAGGAGGACACAUGGAAGAAGGUGCAGAGAUGAGAGUGAAGUGAGGAAAUGAAGAGGGCAGUUAGCUGUGUGGGUCAGUUAAACCACAAAGGGCAAGGGGGAUGAGGGGAAAUAUAUGAAAGCAGAGAGGUAGAAUGGAGCUAGACCAUGUAGGUCUUUGAUGGGAAGAACUAUGAAGGAGCUUAAACUUGAUGUGGAAGAUGAGGGCAACUCAGAGAAGGCAUCUGAAGAAGGGCUGGUGUACAUGGCAUUUUGAGGGUUGGCAGAAGAGGGAAAGAGGGAGGUUGCUAGACUACAUUUCAAAUAACAAACUGGAAUUGAGAGAAAAAUUGACAUUUUUUCUAUAUGGAAAAUGUUGUGAAUUUGUGCAAAAAAAAAUUGACUCAAACAAUAUAAUUUUCUAUCUGAGUCUGUUAAAAUCAUACAAAUUGGACAUCUGAAAUUCGGAUAUAGGUUUGAUGAUAAGAGAAAAAAACAGGCAAGAUGAAGAAUGUUGUGGAAAUGUAUCCCCAAAAUUCUGUCCCACAAACACAUCAGUUAUAUAAAAACCUAUAUUAGUAUUUAGUAUUCAUAUUACAGUAGCACCCAAGAGACCUAAAUAGGGUCAGAGCUCCUUUGUGCUGGGUUCUGUUAAAAUACCAUUAAGAAGGUCCUUACCCCCAUGAAUUUAUAGUCCAACCCUCCGAUUCCUCAAAGCACAUUAAGCACAUGCUUAAGGCCUGUUCAAGUGAAGUACAUGCUUAAGUGCCUGGCGAAAUCAGGGCCUAAAAGUGCACACCUUUUAAUCUAAUACCCACCAUAUCCAUUCAAGGAUUGUUUUUUUCCUGCUUCCCAAACAACUAAAGAAUGCAUCACUAAAUCUAAUUCUGAUCUCUCACUGGUUUUCACUGGUAUAACUCCAUUAAUUUCAGGUUCUAGGCCAGAUUUGCAUGGGUGGAAUUAAGAGAUUCAGCCCCCCAAAACAUCUCAUUACACUGUCCCAUUGUACUUACAAUUAACAUAAUUUAAAUUGAACAUCCUAUACAUAAUUUCCCAACCUAACAGAUGGCCCCCAAAGUCAACAGAUGUCAUCUAACUUACUCACUACUUGAUUUAAUAUUUGUGACGACCAUUUGCUUCUGUAGAAAUAAUAAUGAUGUCAAAAAUAGAGAAUAAAGGCUUAAAGUGGGAAUAAGCAGCAGGAUAAGGUAAUUUCUUAAGAAAACACAGAUCCUGUUUUCACACACAUUCUUAAUAAAAAAUAUGAAGACUCUGAUUUAGGAAAACAUCCCUGUUCAGAAAGAACACUUAAGAACAUUGUUAACUACAAGCAAGCAUCUAAAUCCUAUUGAAGUCAAAGUUUAAGCACAAAGUUUAAAGAAGUUAUAUUGAAAGAGACACAUGCUUUUCUGAACUGGAUCCUAAAAAAGGGAGAAAAACAGAGGAUACGUAUGAUACAAAGGAGGAAAUGUUUGUAUUGAAUAUUUGUUUUUCAUAUGUCCCAUUGUAUGCCUGUGAUGCUCUGUACCUCGGAGGAACACCGUGUACCCCCAUGUUUAUCCUUAUAAUAUGAUUGUGUGGUAUCCAAUGCAAAGUUUGUCAU